rnacentral:lncRNA from 1 species
CAACAUUCCUUAUGGUGCUUAGUCUCUAGAGAUCACACCAUAUACUAGACCAAUCUAGGAGAAGUUACACUCUCCUGUGCAGAUCCUACAUAACUUUUCCACAACCCCUAAGGACUCUUGUAAGAGUUUGGAACUCAAGCCCAGCCUCUUCCAAAUGCUGAAAGAAAAAACAACAGCUGUUAAAUUUCCUUUACGUUUCUUGCAUCUUACAGUACAUAUGGUUUAGAAAACUCUGUGACAAGCUUAACAUGGAAUGGUCUUCCUAGCCUCAAGCAGCAGAAGUAACUUCUCCCAGCUAGGGUGUAGGAACAUCCAGUGAUGAUUGGAGUGAUGGUGUCCUACUUGGAAAUGGAGGUGCUGGAUGGCAGAAGAGGAUUCUUGGCCAAAUAUGGAAUCAUCUCUGUUCCUUCAUGAGGGUAAGUUUUUAAAAGUCAAACAUAUAGAGGUGGAUUUGCAGGGUGCCUUGAAGGAGGUGACCCCCCCCCCCAACUUGAUAUCAGUUGGAUAUUUCAGAGCAGCUGAGAUUAAGGGGACAUUACAAAGUUCUGAAAAUGUUCCUGAAUGUUUUUAGUUGUUAAACUGUCUAAAAGAAUACAAGCAAUGCAAAAAAAAAAAAAAAAAAAAAAAAAAAAAAAAAAAAAGGCAGAACAACUGCAUGUCCUGAACAGAAUCCAGCUUUAAUAGAGACUAAAAAUUAUUCAUAUUCCUCUUUCUUCUUAGUGACCUAAUUAGCUCUCAUCUUCUCUCUCUGCUCUCUCCACACACCUUCCUACUUCUUACAUGUUCUGUUCUCCUACUGUUGAACUCCUGUCAUCUUUAUUUCUCUCCCUUUCUACCUUUGGAAUCCCUUCCCUAAUGCCCCUUCCCUCUUUUGUCUCUUCUGUCUUUUCUAACUUCACCUCUCUGCUGUCUUCCUCUCCUCUACUUCUUUUUUUUUUUUCCAUACUCUUCUCUCUCUUUUCUCUGCACCAUUAUUUAUCUUCUUCCUUCUUCUGCACUUCUGUGCUCUGCGGUUCUGUCCUCCCCUGCCUGUUACUCCUGUCUUCCUCUUCUCCUCCUCACUCUUCUCCCGUUUCUGCUUUACCCCUUGCCGCUGAUGUGGUGACUCAUCUACUCUUAAGUUCUCCCUUAGUGUUAUCUUCUUCUGCUGGGUCAUCUUCCCUCUGUCCUCCCUCCUCUUUAGCUGGCCAUUAGUUCUCCCUGUAACAGCUCCUAUUGUGCCAUUCUUUCUUCUCCGUAUCCUCACUCUUCCUUCAUCUGCAUCUGCACUUCUCUUCUGCUGUUCUUUCUUCUCUCUAUCCUCUCUCCUCUUCUGCAUCACAUCUCUCCUUCUGCUGUUUUCUUCCUGUUUCCUCGUUGCUCUUCUCCAUCUUUGCUCCUCUUCUGCUGUUUUUUUCCCCGCUUCCUCACUCCUCUUUCAUCUGCAGCAGCUCUGCUCUUCUUUCUUCCCUCUCUCCUCUCUCCUAUUUUUUCUGUAUCUGGACCCCAUUUCUGCUCUUCCUUCUUCCCUGUAUCCUCUGCUCUUUCAUCUGCAUCCUCACUCUUCUCUUGUUCUUUCUUCCCUGUCUCCUCACUCCUUUCUUCUGCAUCUGCACUUCUCAUCUUCUUUCUUUCCUGUAUUCUCACUACUCAAUCACCUGCGUCUGCACUCUCCUUCUGCUGUCCUUUCUUCCCUGUAUCCUCAC